ensembl:lncRNA
CUUUUUAGUGGCAUAAGGAAGUUCCAGGCUAGGGGUCAAAUCAGAGCUGCAGCUGCCGGCCACAGCCACAGUCACAGCAACGCGGAAUCUGAGCAGUACCUGAGACCUAAAUCACAGCUCACAACAAGGCUGGAUCCCUGACCAACGGAGCGAAGCCAGGGAUCAAACCCAGGUCCUCAUGGAUACUAGUUGGGUUCGUUACUGCUGAGCCACAAUGGGAACUCUGAAAAACAACUUAUGAGAAAACAAUUUUUAUUUUUCUGAGUUGCUGCCUAGAUAUUUUUCGGUAAUAAUAACUCUGCUCACACCCAGAGUCUAGGCAUUUAGAUAAGGACUUGGAUGAGUCUAGGAUGCCUACUGUAGGUAAGUCCCUGCUUACUUUUUCCUGGGCACUCUUUAAAAUAACCAUUAACGGUUAAGCCCUCAAAAAGUUAGUGUCUACCCCAGCCACCUUAUAAGCAAUAGAUGCUUGUUACCUGCUCUCUGUCUCCUGUUCACCUGGGAGGGAGGACUGCCCUUCCCAACACCCAUGCAGCUCCUGGCCUCUAGCACAUGUAAGUAGUAAGUCUUGUGACUACAUCCUUACUGUGGGUGUACGGUAUUGAAGAUGCAUCUUCAGUUGAAACAAUCCUGUCUUUCACUUCCCCAAAAUGGGAGCUCAGAAGCUGAGGAAGCUACCUGCUGCCCCUGUGUGGGUGUUUCAUCUUAAUCUCUGCAUUUGGCAGGUCAUAAUCUGCAUAUUCCUAAUUCAAUGCACUAGCUCUGGCUUCUGAGCACAACUGGCAACAAGAAGGAUGAGAUUGUGAGCAUAGUUUGUACCCUCUUGCAAUGCCUUAGAGCUGUGAAUGGCUCACUCACUUCUUUUCCCAGACUGCUCAGUCUCUCUGGGAAGGAAGCAGCACUUGCUGGCGCUAAUGUGUAUUGCUGCUGCUACAUGUUGCUGGGAAUCCCUACCCUAAAUCGUUAUUGCCAUAAAAGGUCAGACUCCCCUGUAGAGACCAGCUAGCAGGCCUCAGUGUGAGAUGGUUGUGUUUCCCAUUAGUCUCUAAAUGAGACCCUGAUGGGUGUCCAGUCUGGAGGCGAUGGCUAUAAUCACAUGCAAAAGUCCCUGCAUUGAUCUCAGAAGAGCUAAUAUCUGGUAAGGGCUCAGCUUCUAUCCCUCAAGCAGAAGCCAGGGUGAGGGCUAUCAGGUCCAGGGAGCCAAGGAGAGUUCCUCUACAUUAGGGUCAGGAGGAAAGGCUGGCUGCUGGCCCCUACAUGUUCCCAGCCCCAACCUUGAUGGGGCAACUCUACCAGGGACAUAACACCCUAGGUGGGCAAACGUUGCUGAGGUAAGCACCUCCUACAUUGCUGCAUUUCUUGAUGCAAUUGCAAAAUUCCCUCCCCCGGCCCCCUGGGAUAUAGGUUAUCCCACUCCUGGCUCAGAAAGCAAAAUCUAGACUCCCUAAAGGUGGGGCUGGAAACACACAGUACCAGUCCCUCCCAAGUUCCCAGAAGAGGUCAAAAAAAACACUAGACACUUCUAAGACUGCUGCUCAGAUGGCUUGGAUUUAUUAUAAUCGGUGGCAUAUCAACAAGCAAAGUUGCAGGUGCUACAUUCUUAGGCAUUGGGAACUAUCCCCAACACAGCACCUAGCAAAUUAAUAAUCUGUUUUAAGGAAGACCCAAGAUAUCGAGGGCCCACUUUAUUAGAGACCCCCUAGAGGAGCCCUCAGACUUUUCACUGCAGUGAGGAUGCUCCCAAAUACACUGAGCCACCAAGGGAGGAGACAGAGACAAAACAAAAAAAGAGGAUGAAUUUCUGAAGAUGAGCACCCCCACCAGGCCUCUGGAGCUCAUACAGAUAAGGCCUUCCCUGACUUGGAUUUUCUAGCUUGGCACAGGGUCCACCAUCUGUCACAGUUACUACAACUAACUAUUCAACUUCCAGUGAACAACCCUAGGUGAAGCUCACCUCCUCUCAGGGAAAAUGAGUUGGUUCAGUGCGUGUAUCAUUUUGCUGAGCGUCAUGCUCCCAUAGACCCCUUGACCAUCUCCAACCCAGAAUAGGUACCCUUGGGACCAGAAUCUAAUAAAUACUACUUAAAGGGCACCCUCCCAAUUAUAAGAUGCUGUUACAAUUCACAGAAGUGUCAGAUGAUGUACAAUAAGCCUUGGACUGCCUCAAUGCUCUAGUUAAACAAGAAAAAGAGCAUUUUCUGAAGCCCAGAUCUUGUUCACUGGUAAAGGUGAAAAUGGCCCUGCUGCUCCCUCAGGCAGGAAACCAAAGGAGGGGCCCUAAAGGAUAUGAGGACUUCCAGGCCACUUACUGGUCCUCACAGAGGGAUGGUGCCUCAACCUAGCUCCUUCCCAAAUGACUUAAUCUCACGAUAGCCCAAGUUGACUUAAAAGCCUUCACUCAGGAGUUCCCGCUACGGUCGCAGGUUUCAUCCUGACCCGGCAUUCAGCACAGGGGGUUAAAGGAUCCGGCAUUGCCACAGCUGCCUUGUAGGUUACAACUGCAGCUCGGCUCUGAUCCCUGGCCUGAGAACUCCAUUUUCUAUAGGGCAGCAAAAAAAAGAGGGGGAAAAAAAAAAAGCCUUUUUUCAGUGAGGGCAGAUGCUGUCACUUCUCAGAAUGCACCAGAAUGCCCAGAACUGGCAGCAGGAUCUGGGAUUCAGGACUGUGAUUUUAGAGAGUGGCAGCCACCAAGGUCUCUGCCCUGGGACCUGGCAGUUCCCUGGAGCUUUUCCUUCCUCCAGAAGACACUGCCCCCAUACACUUCUCUAAUUAUCCUUCUGCUCCCACAAAAUAGACACUGGAGCCCAAAUUAUAGUGCUUCCUGGGAACCCCUCCAAAUAUAAGCAAGGGGCACCCUCUGAAUUAUAAGGUAUUGCAGGUAGAAUAGUAGAAGGCAUCCACUGAUGCCUCUUGGAACAAUUUUGAUUAAAAUCCUUUUAGUGGUGGUAGCCCCUUUGGCCCUAUCCUUUCCUGUUAUAGGUGUGGAUGCCUUAAUGCGCCACCACCAUGCCAUGUGAAGCAAACCCCAAUUCCUGGCUUUCCUGGUAGGAGCUGCACAUUGGGAGCUCAUAAGACUACCACUCCCGAUUAAGACAGCCCCAGUGUAACUUUUGCCAGGGGACUGAAGGAUUAUGGCCCAUAAUUCAAGAUUUAUUAAAGGAAGAAGUCAUUAAACAGACCAUUUCUCCUUUCAGUUCCCCCUUUGGCCAGUAUUAAAGCCAGCUACUAAUGAGUGGUGCCUUAUAGCUUGCUGCUGAAAUUUAAAUGUUCAGGUGCCGCCUUUUGAAGCUACCAUUCCCAACUUGCCGGGUUAAUUGAGAACAUCCAAAGGGCUCCAUGGCCUACUUUGCCAUAAUUGAUCUAACUAAUCCGUCCUAUUCAGUACUGAUCACCUAGGAUUCCCAGCUACAAUUCGCCUUUAUGUUCAAAGGCAUUCACAAUAUACCUUUACCUGGUCACCUAUGAGCUAUCUUAACAGCCCAGUUAUUGUCCACAAUCUUUGCCAGCAAGACCCAGUGUCCCCCUUGCACUGUCUGGCACUAUACCAAUGGCACUUUAAUCUAGGGUCCCCUCAAGGGAUACAAUGUAUGAAGCCUUAAUACAACUGGUGAUGCAUCUGCAACAUACAGGUUGGGUUAUUGCCUCACCUAAAAUUGAAGGGCCAGCUACCACUGUUAAAUGUCUGGACAUGAAUUGGUCCUUUAAAGGCAGUUAAAUAUCAAUUGUUAACUAUUCAGCCUCCCACCAUGGCAAACCCAGCAAUUCUUAGGUCUCUUCUCAUUUUGGAGGCAACACAUACCACACUUACCCACCAUUCUUAGACCAUUCUUAGACAGUCAUUUAUGCAGUCACAUGCAAAGCCUCCACAUUUACUGGGGGCAGGUAGCUCAGUAGCAAGUCUUACAAGUAGCACAGAGGUCAAUUUAUUAUGCCCUCUCUUUGGCUUCCCCCUGGCUGCUCCUUCUGGGUUGAGACACUGACCAGCAUGGACUUGCUGUCUUUG